AACGAACGCUGGCGGCAUGCCUAACACAUGCAAGUCGAACGAGACCUUCGGGUCUAGUGGCGCACGGGUGCGUAACGCGUGGGAACCUGCCCUUAGGUUCGGAAUAACUCCCCGAAAGGGGUGCUAAUACCGGAUAAUGUCUUCGGACCAAAGAUUUAUCGCCUUUGGAUGGGCCCGCGUUGGAUUAGCUAGUUGGUAGGGUAAAAGCCUACCAAGGCGACGAUCCAUAGCUGGUCUGAGAGGAUGAUCAGCCACACUGGGACUGAGACACGGCCCAGACUCCUACGGGAGGCAGCAGUGGGGAAUAUUGGACAAUGGGCGAAAGUCUGAUCCAGCAAUGCCGCGUGAGUGAUGAAGGCCUUAGGGUUGUAAAGCUCUUUUACACGGGAUGAUAAUGACAGUACCGGGAGAAUAAGCUCCGGCUAACUCCGUG
rnacentral:rRNA from 1 species